UAACACUCGCUGUGGAAGGACGUGAGAGAGACUGUACGCACGUGCCUCUUGUGUGAACUUCGAUGAGACGGAGACCGAGAAUUCAAUCUUUUUGUUGAUGGUUGUUGGAAAAUUUGGAAAUAAAUGUUUAUCUUUGGGCUCCCUUAUUCGAAGAUCAUUAAUCCGUUCUUAAUGUUAAAAAAGAAGUUAUAACGUUGACAAGUUUUGGGUCAUUUUCUCGUAGAACUUUACGUGCAAAAAGUGAAUCGAAGAAUAUAAAAAAAUACACAACAUCCCUGAACCGAAUGAAUGUGCCGCGCUUUCACAACACCAAACACCCUAAAUUUCACUGAUGUUCGAGAUGCUACAACGACACAGGCCAAGACUUUCGUAGCAUAAUAAGAGAGAAAUAUACCAGUAACCGGAUGCAAUACACGCUGCACAUUACAAAGGAGACUACGUAAAAUACUAGACAGCGAAGAUUUCAACAGAUGCAUGCACUUCAGUAAACCAGCGCGGGGAGUAAGACAACUUCCUUUGGAGAACGACGGCCGCCCUCCCUCCGCCCUCCACGAUGCUGGUUCCGCCCCGCGAGAUCGGAGGCGGGGUGCGCCCUGACCAGCCGUUGGAAGCCCCGCCCACCUGCCAGUUCAACAUGACCGACACUCAGCUGACGGUGCAGUGCGAGGGGAACGUGACCUGCACGGCGCUUGACCACCAGCCUGGCGCCACCAUCGUGUCGCCAAUUCUGCUGAGCUUGAGUUGG